rnacentral:rRNA from 1 species
UACGAAGGGGGCUAGCGUUGUUCGGAAUUACUGGGCGUAAAGCGCGCGCAGGCGGUCUUCCAAGUCAGUGGUGAAAGCCCGGAGCUCAACUCCGGAACUGCCAUUGAAACUGUAAGACUUGAGGAUGAGAGAGGUGAGUGGAAUUCCCAGUGUAGAGGUGAAAUUCGUAGAUAUUGGGAAGAACACCGGUGGCGAAGGCGGCUCACUGGCUCAUUACUGACGCUCAGGCGCGACAGCGUGGGGAUCAAACAGG